rnacentral:lncRNA from 1 species
CAGCACUCCUCCAUGGCCCGCCUUGAGUCCCUGCCUUGUCUUCCCUGGAUGAUGGACUUAGAAGCUGUAAGGUCAAAUACUCUUUCUUCCCUAAGUGGCUUUUGGUCAUGGUAUAUAUCACAGGGGUAGAAAUCCUGACUGAGGCAGUACUCUUGUUCGUAUCUGUUAUAUACGAGAUAUAUAACUGUGAUUAUUUUUUUCCAGGAGAGAAAAAACAAAGCUGAAUGCACAAGGUUUGCCAAUGUUACCUUUCAGUGGGAAGGUCCACCUUCCAGGUGGUAACCUUUGCCUAGAGCCACUAUCAGUAGGGAUCACCUGCACAAACUUUUAAGUCUUCUCCAGCUACGAGAGCAGUGAGGAACAGCAAUGAGCUUUGGGGGC